rnacentral:rRNA from 1 species
ACGAACGCUGGCGGCGUGCCUAAUACAUGCAAGUCGAGCGGAGUUGAUGAGAUGCUUGCAUCUCUGAUACUUAGCGGCGGACGGGUGAGUAACACGUGGGUAACCUGCCUUUAAGACUGGGAUAACAUUCGGAAACGGAUGCUAAUACCGGAUAGGCGAUUUGGUCGCAUGAUCGAAUCGAGAAAGAUGGAGCAAUCUAUCACUUAGAGAUGGACCCGCGGCGCAUUAGCUAGUUGGUGAGGUAACGGCUCACCAAGGCGACGAUGCGUAGCCG